GAUCAUUUCCUAUUACCCCAGUGCAGGCCAGUUUGUGAUGUUAGAUAGUAGUUGUGUAAUAUAUAUGCUAGACAAGGUUUUGUACUCCUGAUUCUAAUGUUUCGUUCCUCACGCCUGAAUUCAGGAAAAUCAGCCAAGAUACACAACAAACAUAUCAGCCGCAGCUAGCUGCUAUGCGCACAUGUGCAAAAACAAACUUAUUAAUCCUUUGCCGCAGACAAUACUGAAGCACUAACACAAACAAGAUCCUUCUGAAGAUAGUGUCUGAAUGCAAAUGAUCAUGACUUAUGAAUUUGGAGCCAUGGCCCAUGUGUAGGCAAGGGCAAUGAUCCCUUUUACUACUUGAGCGGUCCAACAGAGAUUAUUGAAGGUUGUUUCUGAAGUUGUGAUUGACUAGAACCAAAGGAAAGUUGGAGACUUUUUUGGUGUGAAUUGCUUGGAUUAAGUGGGAGUGAAGAUGUUCUUUCUGUCUAUAUCUGGUUCUAUUAUUGGCAAAUUUGUGCCUUCGAGAUUGCUGCGAGUGUUUGUGUUCCCGAGCUGAAAAUUUAGAUUAUUACCAUGUUUGGUCUCCUGAAUAUAAAUCAUGAUUCUUUGCAUCUCAAUUGCAGACCAGCGGACCUUUCCGUCCUCAUAUUCCCCGGAUUCAUUUUCUGCGAUCGAGCGCCCGAGCGGUUGCAUCUCGACGGCAGUUCCCUUUACAACCGAGUUAGCUUUAUACUAUGAGCAGUGAGCAAGUCAUGUAUAAAGCAAAAACAAAGUAUUAGUCUGCUAUCAAAUGGUACAUUUAUUUGAACUCUAAGGGCAGGUUCAGGGUCUCAUGAAGAGGGCAUGUGUUUGUAUUAGGUGAGAUCUGAACUGAUUCUGACCAAUGUGAAAUUAAUUUUGUUGUUGAUGGAUCUGCAAUUAUUUUUAUGUGCACAGAAGUGCCGUAGUUGAGAAGCCUGAGAAGAAUAUAUCACUUAGAUCAGAAGGUUUUGCAGUUGACAAGCUUACAGGUUUGAGCACCCCGAACAACGGGGUGGGCCCUUUGACCUGUGGGUUUUGCUGGUACCAAGAGAAGGAGGUUCCUUUUAACCUGCAGGAGCUCUGCCAAUGGCAGCGUGCUUUCCUUGACAAUGACGUGGUACUGCACGUACGCAAGAUGCAGCGAGUGAAAUCGGCGCAAGAGGGCAUCUUGCAAGCAGCACCAAAUCCUAUAUUAUGGGACCGAAUGUCUUAACUUGAUAAAAGGACUUUAUAUCGAAUGUGUUUGUGCGACUGAAGAUGAGGCAUGCUUUAUUUGAAAAAUUAUAUUGAGUGUGUUUGUGCGACUGGAGAUGGAGGAUGGCUUGUGCUCUCGCUUGUGCGGUUACCACGGUGCUCCGGCCAUUAUGAAGAGGUCAAAUGUGGCUCGGUGAUAGAAUUAAGCAUGAAGGAGGAAGAUACCAGCACCAGCCCCAGCAAUAAAGACUGCGGCAACGGCGACGGCAGUGUGUCCCGGCGAGCGUGAGCAAUGGCAGCAUCAUCUCUGACUCCGAGUACCUGACC